rnacentral:misc_RNA from 1 species
GAUGAAGAACGCAGCGAAAUGCGAUAAGUAAUGUGAAUUGCAGAAUUCAGUGAAUCAUCGAAUCUUUGAACGCACAUUGCGCCCGCCAGUAUUCUGGCGGGCAUGCCUGUCUGAGCGUCAUUUCAACCCUCAUGCCCCUAGGGCGUGGUGUUGGGCAUCGGCCAAAGCCCGCGAGGGACGGCCGGCCCCUAAAUCUAGUGGCGGACCCGUCGUGGCCUCCUCUGCGAAGUAGUGAUAUUCCGCAUCGGAGAGCGACGAGCCCCUGCCGUUAAACCCCCAACUUUCCAAGGUUGACCUCAGAUCAGGUAGGAAUACCCGCUGAACUUAAGCAUAUCAAUAAGCGGAGGA